AACGCGGAGGCUCCUCGGAGCAGUGGCCGCCGCGCCGGAGGUGGGGGCGUGCCGGGCGGGCAGCCCUUCGGCCUCCUGCGUGGCCCCUCACCCCCCUGGAGAAGUGCGGGUUGGGGGUGGUGCGUUUGGAAACAGCGACCGGCGCUGCCUCGGGCAUGUGCCCUUGAGGCGCCGGUGCGCACAGCGUCCCCUGGCGCCCAGGGAAGUGGAGAGAGCCACUUCCGGGAAGAGGGGCGGGGCGCAGCCGGCUCAGCCGAGAAAGGCUGUUGGGGGCGUCGGAGGCCUGGAAAGAGUCCCUGGGGCACAGCUCACGCGGGCUGCUGGGGCGCAUCCUCCUUCUGAGGCGACCAGAGUGAAGCGGGGCGGCCUGUGGGAUCCAGAGCCCAGGACUGAGGUGGCGCCCGACUGAGUUGAGGGGAGGGCUGCUGGGCCCUCACACCUGCCCCGCAGGUACAUUUAAGUCUGCUGUGGUCUUCCCUCAAGUUCUGAUCUCGUCCUCUCCGCGAAAGCAACCACUGACACAAAUUUGGGGUGCUGCUAGUUUAUUGGACUCAAAGAAGGAAUGUUACAUCUGCCCCCUUUAAGCUUCUUGUUUUAUUCAGCUCAUCAAUACAACCUGCUAAGAUACUUGUGAGAUCCUCAGGAGCAGAGCCGGAGCCUUGUAUCCCCUCUGCACCAGCACAGGUGCCUGGAAUUCAGUGAUGCUCAGUGGAGGCUCACUAGGAAACAGCAAUACAUUGAAUGCAACCGAGGCCUCUUCAGAGAUUUGCCCCCUACUGAGACUUCCAAGCACGAAAAUAUUUAUAUUCUCCCCUUUCAGCAUUGAUGCGCGGACCGCAGAGAACAGAGAGAAAUAACCUGCAAAUAAAACACCCUAGGAAAAGCCCAGCUAUCACACUGAUAUAGCAAAAAAUGGAAGAGCACUGCCAGCAGUCUGGGAAAUGGAGAGCAGAGUCGGCGCCGUAAACCCGUCGUUCGUUCCGGUGCAGGCCUUGCUGCUCCGCGUGUCUGUGCUCACGCGCAGGAGCUGUGUGUCGCUGCAGCUGUGAUCCGCGCGCCUACACUCCGUCACCUGCCUUCUCCACCUAACAUCAUGUCACGAGCGUUUCUCGAUGUUGUACAUCGUCUUUAUAAUUACUUCAAAUGAUGGUAAAAUAUUUCAUUCAUGAUUCUACUGCUGAAUACUUAGGUUGCUUGUAAUUUUUUCCCUUUGCUCAUUUUCAUGAAUUAAGAAAUGUAAGAUAUUUCACCCAGUGCUUGGUAGAAUGUACGUAUUUAGUCGGUAGAUAAUUUCUUUCCCAUCUCUCUCCUUCAUCUAUGUCUUUGUAUCUGGGCUUUUCCUUAGGAUAAAGGUUCCUUAGGGUUCAAAAGUUUAAAUAGUUGUGUGGCUUUUCACACACGCUGCUACCAUGUUAUUUUAUUAAUUACAAUGAUGAUAAUGUAAAUAGCUCCACAGUUACACAUAUCGUCUCACAAAAUCCUCUCACAUCUCUAAGGGGGUAGCCACGACCUCGUUUUAGAUAAGAAAGCAGAGGCCUACAAUUGUAAGUAAUUUGCCCAGUGUCCAUGUUGGUUCUGUUGCCUUUUUUCUCCCCAGGGUCUGGUACAAUGCCUGGUGCAUGGAAUGACUUUCAUAAAUAUUUGCUGAAUGAAGUUCACAAAUGGGAGUGUCAUGACUCAAACCGAGAUCUGGUUCACUUCAAAGCCUAUGCUUUUUCAUAAUGCAAAAGAAUUUUUAAAAAUGUGUAUAUAUGUGUGUGUGUAACUGAAUCGCUUUGCUGUAAGCCUGAAACUAACAUUGUAAAUCAACUACACUUCAAUAAAAAUUAGAAGUUUUGAAAAUG